rnacentral:rRNA from 1 species
UAACGACUCUCGGCAACGGAUAUCUCGGCUCUCGCAUCGAUGAAGAACGUAGCGAAAUGUGAUACUUGNUGUGAAUUGCAGAAUCCCGUGAACCAUCGAGUCUUUGAACGCAAGUUGCGCCCCAAGCUGUUAGGCUGAGGGCACGUCUGCCUGGGUGUCACG